CCUUUCAGAGAACUGACAUUAUUAACAGAAUAAAUGUAAAUUAUUUGAAAAGACAUAAUUUAAAAAAAAUAAAAUCAGAUUUUAAAAAACAAUUAUAUUCCCCUUUUCACUGGCACAGAGUUUAUUCUGGAAUUAAAAUGGUCUCACUCAGGCCAAAGAGGUCCGUUACAAAGUGCAAAAUGCUGAUCCUGUUCAAAUCCAAAAGUAGACUCAGCCAAGGUUUGACCGAAAGCACAGGACAUCAAUUUUUUUCCCAACAAACUCUUCUUAUAUGCUGAAGAAGACAAAUUACUGAUGGUUUCCCAUAGUCGUUUAUUUAUUAAGUUCAUUUUGACCUAGCUUCUCCUUCCUCCAUGCUGAUGCACAAACUGGAGGUCAAAAGGCUGAGCAGAAGGUGGUUCCUUAUCACACCCUCUUAUGCAUUGGCAGUUUCCUGACUUUAUCACAUGGGUCUCUCAAUCCUGCUCACUGCUGCAAGCUUACUUACAUGCCACAUGGCCUUCAGCACUGUUGAAGCCAUGAUAUUCUACAAAUCAUUAAGCAAAUGAAGAUGUGUUCUUAUCACACACAGUGCUUCAGCAUAGAUAUUUAAACCAUCAGUGUUUAGGAGGAGUGAAUGCCCAUUCGCCGUUACAUGCCUCAGAUUCCAGUAAGAGGUGAAAGAACUGAAAAAGAACAUAGAAUCACAGACUGGUUUGAGUUGGAAGGGACCUUAAAGCUCAUCCAGUCGCUUCCAACCCAAACCAGGCUGGGGCUCUGUGAUUAUUGCUGUUGGAUAAGGGACCAGAUCCAAAUUCAUGAAGCCUAAUGGUAGUUAUUGACCUGUUCUACUUAAAAUGACUUCAAGUCCAAUAGCAUUAGUUGUAUGGAAUUUGGGAGGAAACAGCUUUUUUAGCAAUAGGUUUAAAGACAGACUGAACACCGCGUUCCCUUUCCCCGGUGUUACAUACCUAUCUCUAAAAUCUAUGGGUCAGCAGCCUGGUGUGAGACUCAGUCCUGCACCCUGCAAAGCCAGUGGCAUGAGUUCAUCCAUGUUAGGCUCUGACCC
rnacentral:lncRNA from 1 species